AGAGUUUGAUCCUGGCUCAGGAUGAACGCUAGCGGCAGGCCUAAUACAUGCAAGUCGAACGGUGGUAGCAAUACCAUAGUGGCGCACGGGUGCGUAACGCGUAACCAACCUGCCCUUGACUGGGGGAUAGCCCGCCGAAAGGGCAUUAAUACCGCAUAAACUAGCAACCCGGCAUCGGGUAACUAGUAAAGAUUUAUUGGUCAAGGAUGGGGUUGCGUGACAUUAGCUAGUUGGCGGGGUAACGGCCCACCAAGGCGACGAUGUCUAGGGGACCUGAGAGGGUGAUCCCCCACACUGGCACUGAGAUACGGGCCAGACUCCUACGGGAGGCAGCAGUAGGGAAUAUUGGGCAAUGGGCGAGAGCCUGACCCAGCCAUGCCGCGUGCCGGAUGAAGGCCUUCUGGGUUGUAAACGGCUUUUCUCAGGGAAGAAAAAGAGGAUGCGUCCUAAACUGACGGUACCUGAGGAAUAAGCACCGGCUAACUCCGUGCCAGCAGCCGCGGUAAUACGGAGGGUGCAAGCGUUGUCCGGAUUUAUUGGGUUUAAAGGGUGCGUAGGCGGCCCGUUAAGUCCGGGGUGAAAGCCUCUUGCUCAACAAGAGAACUGCCCUGGAUACUGGCGGGCUUGAGUCCAGACGAGGUUGGCGGAAUGGAAGAUGUAGCGGUGAAAUGCAUAGAUAUCUUCCAGAACCCCGAUUGCGUAGGCAGCUGACUAGGCUGGUACUGACGCUGAGGCACGAAAGCGUGGGGAGCGAACAGGAUUAGAUACCCUGGUAGUCCACGCCGUAAACGAUGGAUACUCGCUGGUGGCGAUAGACAGUCACUGGCUUAGCGAAA
rnacentral:rRNA from 1 species